rnacentral:rRNA from 1 species
GACGUAGGGGGCCAGCGUUGUUCGGAAUUACUGGGUGUAAAGGGUUCGUAGGCGGUGUGGCAAGUCGGGAGUGAAAUCCUGGAGCUCAACUCCAGAACUGCCUUUGAUACUGGCGAUCUUGAGUCCGGGAGAGGUGAGUGGAACUGCGAGUGUAGAGGUGAAAUUCGUAGAUAUUCGCAAGAACACCAGUGGCGAAGGCGGCUCACUGGCCCGGUACUGACGCUGAGGUGCGAAAGCGUGGGGAGCAAACAGG